rnacentral:rRNA from 1 species
GACGAACGCUGGCGGCGUGCUUAACACAUGCAAGUCGAACGGAAAGGCCCUGCUUUUGUGGGGUGCUCGAGUGGCGAACGGGUGAGUAACACGUGAGUAACCUGCCCUUGACUUUGGGAUAACUUCAGGAAACUGGGGCUAAUACCGGAUAGGAGCUCCUGCUGCAUGGGGGGGGUUGGAAAGUUUCGGCGGUUGGGGAUGGACUCGCGGGUUAUCAGCUUGUUGGUGGGGUAGUGGCUUACCAAGGCUUUGACGGGUAGCCGGCCUGAGAGGGUGACCGGCCACCUUGGGACUGAGGGACGGCCCAGACGCCUACGGUAGGCAGCAGUGGGGAAUAUUGCACAAUGGGCGGAAGCCUGAUGCAGCAACGCCGCGUGCGGGAUGCCGGCCUUCGGGUUGUAAACCGCUGUCGCCUGUGACGAAGCGUGAGUGACGGUAAUGGGUAAAGAAGCACCGGCUAACUACGUG